AUUGAACGCUGGCGGCAGGCCUAACACAUGCAAGUCGAGCGGAGCGGCGGACGGGUGAGUAAUGCCUGGGAAUCUGCCUGGUAGUGGGGGAUCACGUCCGGAAACGUGCGCUAAUACCGCAUACUAUCAGAUGAGCCUAGGUCGGAUUAGAUUGUUGUGGGGGUAAAGGCCUAGCAAGGCGCCGAUCCGUAACUGGUCUGAGAGGAUGAUCAGUCACACUGGAACGGAGACACGGUCCAGACUAAUCCGGGAGGCAGCAGUGGGGAAUAUUGGACAAGGGGCGGAAGCCUGAGCCAACCAUGCCGCGUAUGUGGAGAAGGGCUUCGGAUUGUAAAGCACAUUAAGUUGGGAGGCGGUACCAACAGAAUAAGCACCGGCUAACUUCGUGCCAGCAGCCGCGGUAAUUC
rnacentral:rRNA from 1 species